AGACAGACACAAAAUAAAUCCUAAUCAAAAUGAAACAUAGAUUCUAUAGACAUUUCCAAAUAAAUUAGAAAUCUGUAAAACAAAUCUUAAUAAAACUAAAAUAUUGCAACAAUAAUGAAUAUACCUUUAAACUAACUCAAAAAAGGGAACUAAAAUAGAAUCCUGAAUAAUGAAAUUUAACCCUAAAAGUCUGACAACAUCAUCCGAAAAAAAAUGUGCAAAAUCAAAAACACUUCUAGAUUAUACUUACAGACAAAAAUCGGACAACAAACCUAAAAGUUAUGCUCAGUUUUCAUAUAUCCUUCUUAUUCCUUUGCUUUCUAGUUGGUUUAUGAUCUUCUCAUCUAAUUGAUCCGCAUUCCCUUCCACAUCAAAAACAACUCAAUCCUGAGUUGUCAUCAGGAUACAGAGGCUCAUUAGUGUUUGAAACAUACUCAUGAAGAUCUACAACAUUCCGGCUAGGUUUUCGGCUCAACUUCUUCCACCUUUUUUCAUGCUCAUUCUUGAAACUUGGUGUCUUAUUUGUUGCACUUGAACCUCAGUCCACAUAGUUGAACAUGUCCUUUUAUAGCUUCCUUGAUCUUCUUUGCUCUUGAUCUAAUUAUCAACCCUUCAGAACAUUCAAUGGAUUCUUCCUAACUUACCUUCCAUGAUUCUCAUCAAAAGUACUCCAAUAUGUACAAAAUCGAGCAAAUGUACCAAUAUAAGCCAAAAUGCACCUAAAUACGCUAAAUAUGUAGAAGCAUCCAAAAUUGCCGAAGUGUAUGAAAUGUGUAUCAAGACAUUCCUAAAUAUAGUAAAAUGCACCGAGUGUGCAAAACACUCAACAAAUGUACCAAACUACAACAAAUAUAACAACAUGUCAAAACGUACCAAAUUUUGAGAAAAUGUGUAAAAC
rnacentral:lncRNA from 1 species